GCGCCCAAUGGGAAUCUCAAUGGGAAUCUGAUGGGAACCAAUAUGGCGUCCAAUGGGAACCAAAAUGGCACCCAAUGGGAACCCAAUGGGAACCAAUAAGGAAACCCCAAUGGGAUCCAAAAUGGCGCCCAGUGGGAACCCAAUGGGACAACAAUGGAUUCAAAAUGGCGCCCAAUGGGAAUCCCAAUGGGAAUCUUAAUGGGAACCAAUAUGGCGCCCAAUGGGAGCCAAUAUGACAACUCAAUAGGAACCAAUAAGGGAACCCGAUGGGAUCCAAAAUGGCGCCCAAUGGGAACCCAAUGGGAACCAAAAUGGGAACCAAUAUGGCGCCCAAAGGGAACCCCAAUGGGAAUCUAAUGGGAAACAAUAUGGCGCCCAAUAGAAACCUGAUGGGAACCAAUAUGGCACCCAGUGGGAACCAAUAUGGCGCUCAAUGGGAACCCAAUGGGAACCAAUAAGGGAACCCCAAUGGGAACCAAAAUGGCGCCCAGUGGGAACCCAAUGGGACAACAAUGGAUUCAAAAUGGCGCCCAAUGGGAAUCCCAAUGGGAAUCUUAAUGGGAACCAAUAUGGCGCCCAAUGGGAACCAAUGGAACCAAGAUGGCGUCGAAUGGGAACCAAUGGGAACCAAGAUGGCGCCCAAUGGGAACCAAGAUGGCACCCAAUGGGAACCAAUGGGAACCAAGAUGGCGCCCAUUGGGAACCAAGAUGGCGCCCAAUGGGAACCAAGAUGGCGUCCAAUGGGAACCAAUGGGAACCAAGAUGGCGCCCAAUGGGAACCAAGAUGGCGUCCAAUGGGAACCAAUGGGAACCAAGAUGGCGUCUAAUGGGAACCAAUGGCAACCAAGAUGGCGCCCAAUGGGAACCAAUGGGAACCAAGAUGGCGCCCAAUGGGAACCAAUGGGAACCAAGAUGGCGCCCAAUGGGAACCAAUGGGAAAGGAAACGUAAUGGGAUCUCAAUGGGAUUCCUAUGGGAUUCCUAUGGGAUUCCUAUGGGAUCUCAAUGGGAUUUCAGUGGGAUUCCUAUGAGGUUUCUGUGGGAUCUCAAUGGGAUCUCAUUGGGAUUUUUAUGGGAUUUCCUAUGGGAUUGCUAUGGGAUUUCUGUGGGAUUUCAGUGGGAUUUCAAUGGGAU
rnacentral:lncRNA from 1 species